rnacentral:misc_RNA from 2 species
CAGAGUCGUAAAAAACUCCCAACCCAUGUGAACUUACCUUUGUUGCCUCGGCAGGACCUACCCUGUAGUUACCCUGUAGCUACCCUGUAGCCCUGCCGGUGGACCAUUAAACUCUUGUUAUUUUAAAUGAAUCUGAGCGUCUUAUUAAAUAAGUCA